AGUUCACUUGUAAUUCGUGGAAAUCUCAGGCCUCUUUUUCCUCCUUGGGUGCUUUUGUUCCUUUAAGUGCGAUCUUUCCUGGCGUUUUGUUUACCUAUUACCUCCGUUUUUGUUAAGUGGGUGGGUUAAAGAAUUUUAGAACUAGGUAGAUUUUAUGGGUCAGCCGCCGUACAGGAUCUCAAGAUUCCCUUGCCAUUAGCCAUUAAUUAAUAGUGUAGGAUCUUGACUAAGUUAUAUGUAAUGUCUGGAUGGCAGUUUCCUCACCUGUAAGAUGAAGAGGGAUGGAUCGGAGAAUGAAGAUAAAAGGCAGAGAAGCCGUAAAUCGCCACCCAGAGACUAGGGCUGUAGAUACAUUCCUUUAUGAGGGAGAAAACUGAGGCCAGAGAAAGUAAGGUAGAAACAGAUUUAGGACAGUACCUAAAUCUCCUAAUUUCUAGUCAAGUGCUCUUUUCACUGGAAGGCCCUGUCUACUGAUAAGCUUGCCGAAGUUAACAAACUCACCUGCUUUUAAAUGUUUACAUACGUAACUUUAAUAUUCAAGCUACAUAAAUGUGGCUUCCAACUUGAAGAAAGAGGGGUUGGGGUAUAUUAGGAGGCCAACUUGGAGAAAUACACAAUUGAUCAGCAAUAGAGCAAUCGAGAGACAUGUCUAUUAGUGUGUUAAAUGGUAUUUCUGGAAAAUUUUCUCACAGGAGGUAACAUGUUGGUACUUAAAGGAUGAGUAAAUGUAGUGGUUUUGUUUGUUUUAGAGACAAGGUCGCUCCGUUACCCAGGCUGGAGUGCAGUGGUGCAGUAAUAGCUCCUUGUAACCUCACACUCCUGGGCUCAGGCAGUCCUCCCAACUCAGCUAUCUAAGUAGCUGGGACUACAAGCCCCCUGCCACCAUGUUUGGCUAAUAUUUAUUUAUUUAUUUAUUUAUUUUUGAGACGGAGUCUCAUUCUGUCGACAGGAUGGAGUGCAGUGGCGCGAUCUCGGCUCACUGCAACCUCCGCCUCCAGGGUUCAAGCGAUUCUCCUGCCUCAGCCUCCCGAGUAGCUGGGACUACAGGUGCCUGCCACCACGCCUGGGUAAUUUUUUGUAUUUUUAGCAGAGACGGGGUUUCACCAUGUUAGUCAGGAUGGUCUCGAUCUCCUGACCUUGUGGUCUGCCUGCCUUGGCCUCCCAAAAUGCUGAGAUUACCGGCGUGAGCCACUGCACCCAGCCCGAAUAUAACCAUUUUUUAAAACAUGCCAAUUUGAUGGGUGAUUGUGGGGAAAAGAAAGAGAGAUCAGAUUGUUACUGUGUCUGUGUAGGAAGAAGUAGACAUAGGAGACUCCAUUUUGUUCUGUACUAAGACAAAUUCUUCUGCCUUGAGAUGCUGUUAAUCUAUAACCUUAGCCCCAAACCCGAACUCUCUGAAACAUGUGCUGUGUCAACUCACGGUUAAAUGGAUUAAGGGCUGUGCUAGAUGUGCUUUGUUAAACAGAUGCUGGAAGGCGGCAUGCUCCUUAAGAGUCAUCACCACUCCCUAAUCUCAAGUACCCAGGGACACAAACACUGCGGAAGGCCGCAGGUACCUCUGCCUAGGAAAGCCAGGUGUUGUCCAAGGUUUCUCCCCAUGUGAUAGUCUGAAAUAUGGCCUCGUAGGAAGGGAAAGACCUGACCGUCCUCCAACCCGACACCCGUAAAGGGUCUGUGCUGAGGAGGAUUAGUAUAAGAGGAAGGCAUGCCUCUUUGCAGUUGAGACAAGAGGAAGGCAUCUGUCUCCUGCCCAUCCCUGGGCAAUGGAAUGUCUUGGUAUAAAACCCGAUUGUAUGUUCCAUCUACUGAGAUAGGGGAAAACUGCCUUAGGGCUGGAGGUGGGCCAUGCGGGCAACAAUACUGCUCUGUAAGGCAUUGAGAUAUUUAUGUGUAUGCAUAUCUAAAGCACAGCACUUAAUUCUUUACCUUGUCUAUGAUGCAGAGACCUUUGUUCACGUGUUUAUCUGCUGACCUUCUCUCCACUAUUAUCCUAUGACCCUGCCACAUCCCCGUCUCUGAGAA
rnacentral:lncRNA from 10 species